AUUCGCAUGCAGAACACGCUGGGCAGAGCCAAAAUGGGGAAGAACAUGUUGAAGAUUCCAAAACCCUUGAUUUCAUUCAAAUCCACAUAACUUCUCGCUCCGAGCUCCGAUUGACGAUCCGUUUGCGGCCACGCGACUGCGGCGUUGAGCUCUACAAAGCUCAUAACAUUGUAAGGUUUAAUUUAGCUUGCGGAGCUUAUUGAGCUCGAGUUGUUAUGCGUGUGGGCACGGUGUAGAUUAAGUGGGUAUAUAAGCAUUGGAAUUGAAUUGGGAUUACUUGGAGGUUUGUUGAUGACCAAGGCUUGUUUUGGGACUGUUUGAUUGAGCUUGGAGGGGCUGUAAUUUCGAGUUGUGAGGCUGCCUUGGGUGAACUAAGUAAUCGGCCAAGAUGCAGGUCGAGAGGCUCCUCGCUAGGCGUCUGGAUCCUGGGAAGCGAAGUAGUCCUUGGGUGUAUUUUGGUUUUCUAUUUGUAUAUAUGUAUAUAUGUAUUUAGCUUACUCUCCAAGUAACUUAUGUAUGCCGCUCCUCUUAGAGGUUGAGGGAGAGAUAGGAGUUUAUUUUGGUAUUUUGGUAUAUUUUAGGGAUACCUAUGUAUGUUCAUAUGUAUAUAUAUAUAUAUAUCCUCUGGCCAGCCUUAGCUUCGCAGGCUAAGUCAGGGGCUAGUUAUGCUGUUUCCUUGGGUU